rnacentral:rRNA from 2 species
UGGGGAAUAUUGCACAAUGGAGGGAACUCUGAUGCAGCGACGCCGCGUGAACGAAGAAGGCUUUCGAGUCGUAAAGUUCUUUUAUAUGGGAAGAUAAUGACGGUACCAUAAGAAAAAGCCCCGGCUAACUACGUGCCAGCAGCCGCGGUAAUACGUAGGGGGCUAGCGUUGUCCGGAAUCACUGGGCGUAAAGGGUUCGCAGGCGGAAAUGCAAGUCAGGUGUAAAAGGCAGUAGCUUAACUACUGUAAGCAUUUGAAACUGCAUAGCUUGAGAAGAGUAGAGGUAAGUGGAAUUUUUAGUGUAGCGGUGAAAUGCGUAGAUAUUAAAAAGAAUACCGGUGGCGAAGGCGACUUACUGGGCUCAUUCUGACGCUGAGGAACGAAAGCGUGGGUAGCAAACAGG